rnacentral:rRNA from 1 species
AAUGAACGCUGGCGGCAGGCCUAACACAUGCAAGUCGAGCGGAUGAAGGGGGCUUGCUCCCGGAUGCAGCGGCGGACGGGUGGGUAAUGCCCAGGAAUCUGCCUUAUCUUGGGGGAUAGGGUCCGUAAACGGGCCCGAAUACCGCAUACGUCCAGAUAGUGAACGUGGGGGAUCUUCGGACCUCACGCGUUCUGAUGAGCCUAGGUCGGAUUAGCUAGUUGGUGGGGUAAAGGCGUACCAAGGCGACGAUGCGUAACUGGUCUGAGAGGAUGAUCAGUCACACUGGAACUGAGACACGGUCCAGACUCCUACGGGAGGCAGCAGUGGGGAAUAUUGCGCAAUGGGCGAAAGCCUGAUCCAGCAAUGCCGCGUGAGUGAUGAAGGUCUUCGGAUUGUAAAGCUCUGUAAGUAGGGAGGAAGGAAAGUAAGUGUAUCCAUUGCUGUUUUGACGGUACCAACAGAAUAAGCCCCGGCUAACUUCGUG